AGACAGUGCAGGCAUGUCCGUCAUGUAUGUCCGUCAGGAACAGUCCCAAAUCUGUCACAUUACACCCAUGGAUUUGGGCAACCAGACCAUUUCAACGCAUCCAUAUUGAUUAUGCCGAGUAUAAGGGACAAUCUCUACUUAUUGUCAAUGACAGUUAUUCAAAGUGGUUGGAAGUCAUUCCAGUGAGAUCAACCACCAGUGCUAACAUGAUUGACAAACUUCGGAUGCUGUUUGCGUCAACCGGAUUACCAGAGGAGAUAGUGAGUGACAAUGGACCACAGUUCACGUCCCAUGAAUUUCGUGACUUUACACGUCAAAAUGGUAUAAAACAUACCCUCGUUCCACCGUACCACCCGCAAUCCAAUGGAUUUGCUGAGCGAGGAGUACAGAUAGUGAAGAAGGCCCCGAAAAGUAAAGAUGUUGAGGGACGACAACAAUCGCUAGAGCAUCGAUUAGCGAACUUCCUAUUAAAGUAUAGAGUUACUCCCCACACAACUACUGGUGUGUCACCCUCUGAGCUAUUUCUGAAGAGGCAACUUAGAACGCGUCUCACACUGGUGAAGCCUGACAUCGGGAAGAGUGUUGAGAAAAGCCAGCAGCGGAUGAAAGACUUUCAUGAUCGAGGCAAGGUGAAGGUCAGACAGUUUGAAGAAGGAGACCAAGUGCAAGUGAAGACUACAAUUCAGCCUGGGAAAUGGAAGUGGCUACCUGGAACAGUAAACAAAGUUUGUGGUCCACUUACUUACCUAGUCUAAGUCGGAAAUCGCAAAAGAUUUUGUCACCUUGACCACUUGCUAGCGUGCAAUGCUAAACUUCCACAAGCGUGUCGCCCCUGGGCGACUUUUCCUUGAAGGAGCCAACAAGACCUAUAGUGGAUCUACCAGAGGAAGUGGAUCUCCCGAAUGCAGAACCUUCCAAGGAAGCAGGAAGUUCCCCACCAUCUAGUCAAACGUCGAAGACACCGUCUACCACAAGUCGAGUGAUGUCAUCCAGGGCGGCGAACCAGUCAAUGAGCAUACCCUCACCACGGCCCGUGCGUGAACGCAAACCCGUCCGUAGGCUCAUAGAGGAAAUCUGACUUACUUUGUGACAUUUGCACGUUUCUUAUGUUGAAAGUUUUGUUUGUUAAUCUUCGUGUUUAAGGUUAAAUCAAAUCUGUUAUUUUGGUGUACUUGGAUCAUUUGUUUAAAUUCAAGAAAGAAUUUAAGAUUUUAAAAGGGAGGAGUGUAGUGUUUGCGAAUUUAUCUCGGGAUCGAGAUUGCAACAAUUGUGUUAUUGAACUUUCUAGAUAAACAUGUGUUUUUG
rnacentral:sRNA from 1 species